AGAGUUCCGUCUAGCCUCGUCGGUACUAGACGUAAAUAGUAGAAAUCCGCCAAAAAUCAAUUAGCGGCAAAGUAUUACUUGAACGAUGCCUUCUCAUCACAAGAUCAAAUCGACAGCCUCCCGGCAUCAAUAUUUUAUAACGAAACGAGGUAUUCUCAUCUCGUGUCUUGACUUUUCAUUAUCGCGACAAGCGGAGGUUUCCCGUCUUGCAUGCCUGUAACGAGUAGGGCGUUCCCGUCACGUGCGUCUUGUCUCUCCUUUUUUAUACAGCUUAAAUUUGUCAUCAGCAACUUGAUA
rnacentral:lncRNA from 1 species